UUUGAUCCUGGCUCAGAUUGAACGCUGGCGGCAUGCUUAACACAUGCAAGUUGAACGGUAACGAUGGCAAGCUNGCUUGCCAGGCGACGAGUAGCGGACGGGNGAGUAAUACAUAGGAAUCUGCCCAGUAGCGGGGGACAACUCGGAGAAAUCCGAGCUAAUACCGCAUACGCCCUACGGGGGAAAGCGGAGGAUCUUCGGACUUCGCACUAUUGGAUGAGCCUAUGUCGGAUUAGCUUGUUGGUGGGGUAAUGGCCUACCAAGGCAACGAUCUGUAGCUGGUCUGANAGGACNAUCAGCCACACUGGGACUGANACACGGCCCANACUCCUACGGGAGGCAGCAGUGGGGAAUAUUGGACAAUGGGCGCAAGCCUGAUCCAGCAAUGCCGCGUGUGUGAAGAAGGCCUGCGGGUUGUAAAGCACUUUCAAUCGUGAAAAAAAGCUCAUGGCUAAUACCCAUGAGUCUUGAUGUUAACGAUACAAGAAGCACCGGCUAACUCCGUGCCAGCAGCCGCGGUAAUAAGGG
rnacentral:rRNA from 1 species